GGAUUAGUUUCGAGUUGACAAAACCAAACCGAUGCAAUCAGACUUAAUUGGUACCAUGAGGCAGCUUAUCAACUUUCUCUGUGAACUCAGGCUUUGAUCCUUAAGCUAUGAUUACUCCAUGGUCGCAUGCACAUAAAACAGCGGAGGAGCAAGAAAUAAUUAUUCAAAAAUACAAAGAAUAUAAGCAUGUUUUUCAAGCACGCAGUAAUACUGUUUCUGCUGCCAAAGCAAGAGAAGAGAGUUGGAAAAAGAUCGCUGAUUGCGUUAAUGCAUGUAACCCCAACUACAAACGUUCUUGGCAGCAGAUAAAGACAAAAUCUAAAAAUACAAUUCAAAGUGGGUGACGCAAAUGAUGAAGAGACCCUCUCUGCCUGUUCUGAAACCGUUGCUGAGGUGGAAACUGACUCAAUUUCUCCCUGAUGAAAUUGACCCCAUCAACUGGACUGCACAUUAAAGGAGCUGGACUGUGAGCCGAGGAGCCUCCAAAUAAAAAAAAAAUCAGUUGGAGAUCAAACAGCUGGAAAAACAGAUCUCUGUAUGUGAACUUACUAAACGCAUUAGUAUGAACACUGAAUACUUAUUAAUGCAACUUUCUCUUCCUAGCCAAAUAACCAAAAAAAAAACAUUUGAGACCUAUCUGCAGUUUCAAUGUGUUUUUAUUAAGUAAAAUAUUGUAUGGUGAUUGCAUCUCUGACUGCUGCGCCAGCUGGGUGGUCAAGUGUGAUGGGGUCAAUUUCAUCAGGGAGAAGCUGGUUUUGUGGUGGUACUCGCUCCUUUCUGAUAGUGGCUAUAUUGUGCAGAAUGGCACAUGCAGCCACUAUCUGUGAUGCCCGCUCUGGUGACACCCUUAACC
ensembl:lncRNA